AGCAGCCGCGGUAAUUCCAGCUCCAAUAGCGUAUAUUAAAGUUGUUGCAGUUAAAAAGCUCGUAGUUGAAUUUCGGGGUCAGCAAGUUGGUCGUGCCACUGGUAUGCACUGGCUUUGCUGAUUCCUCCUUCUUGUAGAACCGUAAUGCCAUUAAGUUGGUGUUGCGGGGAAACAGGACUGUUACUUUGAAAAAAUUAGAGUGUUUAAAGCAGGCUAACGCUUGAAUACAUUAGCAUGGAA
rnacentral:rRNA from 1 species